rnacentral:lncRNA from 1 species
AUAUGGAUAUAAAUAUCCCUCCGACCUGAGACCGCCACGGUGACUUGCAAGCAACUCACUGCACUUAGGCACUGGACUACCUGAAUUUCUAAUUCAGUGACGGAAGGCUGCUGGGUGUAGUCAAGUACUUGACUUGUCGGUGCGUGUGUCAAGAUGGGAUUGACCACUCCAGUUUAGGAGCUGUGUACAGUCGUGUUUCAAUUUAGCAAAAUCUUGGCCAGGGUAGUCCUAGUGAGGAGUCACAAGACUAAUUGAGUUGAGCACGAUUCGGAUGAUCUCAUCAAGGUUGACAGUUUAACUCUGAGUCAUCCUAAACACAGGGGUCAAAAGGGAUGAAUUAUACGGUAACCAUAUUCACGUAGGUUCUGAAUGUUGCGAUUGCGACUAUUCGACCUAUCCG